rnacentral:tRNA from 1 species
GCGUCCAUAGCUCAAUCGGUAGAGCAUCACUUUGACAUAGUGGGGGUAAGUAGUUCAAAUCUACUUGGACGCA